rnacentral:rRNA from 1 species
GGGGUGCGGACAGUGUCUGGUGGGUAGUUUGACUGGGGCGGUCUCCUCCCAAAGAGUAACGGAGGAGCACGAAGGUUGGCUAAGCAUGGUCGGACAUCAUGCGGUUAGUGCAAAGGCAUAAGCCAGCUUGACUGCGAGAGUGACGGCUCGAGCAGGUACGAAAGUAGGUCUUAGUGAUCCGGUGGUUCUGAAUGGAAGGGCCAUCGCUCAACGGAUAAAAGGUACUCCGGGGAUAACAGGCUGAUACCGCCCAAGAGUUCAUAUCGACGGCGGUGUUUGGCACCUCGAUGUCGGCUCAUCACAUCCUGGGGCUGAAGUAGGUCCCAAGGGUAUGGCUGUUCGCCAUUUAAAGUGGUACGCGAGCUGGGUUUAGAACGUCGUGAGACAGUUCGGUCCCUAUCUGCCGUGGGCGUUGGAAGAUUGAAAGGGGCUGCUCCUAGUACGAGAGGACCGGAGUGGACGCACCACUGGUGUUCGGGUUGUCAUGCCAAUGGCAUUGCCCGGUAGCUAAGUGCGGAAGAGAUAACCGCUGAAAGCAUCUAAGCGGGAAACUUGCCUUGAGAUGAGUCUUCCCUGACUCUUUAAGGGUCCUAAAGGAACGUUUAAGACUAAGACGUUGAUAGGCUGGGUGUGUAAGCGUAGCGAUACGUUGAGCUAACCAGUACUAAUGAACCGUGAGGCUUAACCUGACAACACCGAAGGUGUUUUAG